rnacentral:rRNA from 1 species
UGGGGAAUAUUGCACAAUGGGCGAAAGCCUGAUGCAGCGACGCCGCGUGCGGGAUGAAGGCCUUCGGGUUGUAAACCGCUUUUGAUUGGGAGCAAGCGAGAGUGAGUGUACCUUUCGAAUAAGCACCGGCUAACUACGUGCCAGCAGCCGCGGUAAUACGUAGGGUGCAAGCGUUAUCCGGAAUUAUUGGGCGUAAAGAGCUCGUAGGCGGUUUGUCGCGUCUGGUGUGAAAGUCCAUCGCUUAACGGUGGAUCUGCGCCGGGUACGGGCAGGCUAGAGUGCGACAGGAGAGACUGGAAUUCCCGGUGUAACGGUGGAAUGUGUAGAUAUCGGGAAGAACACCAAUGGCGAAGGCAGGUCUCUGGGUCGUCACUGACGCUGAGGAGCGAAAAGCGUGGGGAGCGAAC